UUAAUAUGAAGUCUGUGUGUUGAACUAGUCCACUGUUCACUAAAGGAGACCCGAGUGUAGAACCGCACGUGGUAAUCGCAGUCCCGAGGCCGUCGCAGCGACCGUCGUCCCAGCGACCACGGCGAGAUAAAAAGGAAUUACUCCUCGUCAAAUUGUGUGCACUCGAAAAGAUAAGACAACGCAAACAAUAUUUACAACAACACAGAAAACAUCUCGAGACCGGACUCGAGUCCCGCAGCUCUAGAAGUCGAUAUCAAAAUAAAAUAGGAACGCCGUUAUCUUCACUGUCCAAAUGAACUAUGAAGACUAGUCGGGGCUGUGAAAAAAAUACAGCAAGGCAGACAGUCAAUAAAGCAACUACAUUUAUUUUGUAGGUGUGAAAAUAUUUCAGACAAGAUCAAACCGAUUCAAUGGUCAUCUGCACAAGGUGAUGGAAAAAAAGCUUUUUACCCCCCUAUGUUUUAACAGGCCACUGGCACUGAGUAGAGGUGUGUGCACGAUCGCCUUUAAAUUCCUAUUCCCGGGACCGUCCUGAAACACCUCCAGGUACUGUACUGAACUGACUCCAGGUACUGUACUGAACUGACUCCAGGUACUGUACUGAAACACCUCCAGGUACUGUACUGAACUGACUCCUGGUACUGUACUGAAACACCUCCAGGUACUGUACUGAACUGACUCCAGGUACUGUACUGAACUGACUCCUGGUACUGUACUGAAACACCUCCAGGUACUGUACUGAACUGACUCCAGGUACUGUACUGAACUGACUCCUGGUACUGUACUGAAACACCUCCUGGUACUGUACUGAACUGACUCCAGGUACUGUACUGAAACACCUCCUGGAUGCUGCUGUAGACAUCCUCCUGCCAUCAUUAAACUAUAAGGCGUUUCUGUGACGUGCUGCGCUCCCAGUUAGAGGAGAUGACCCGUUGAGUGGUCUUAAUAAAACAAAACAAAACCUCUAAUACAAACGCAAGACUCUUCAUCGAUCUUCGUUUCCUUUUCUAAAACAUUUACAGCGUCUAGCAUUGAAGCGCUCACUGCAGACUCACCACCUCCGGGUAAUAUCCCCAGACCCCGAGCACUGGGGAAGAUCAGUGAAGGCCUCGUUCAUAAUUGAUGGUGGAACCAGAGGAGCUGUUUUUCAGGAUUAUUACGAGAGCCGAGUCCAUUCCCACGUGUGCGAAGAGAGAAAUUCACGGCUCAAAGUUUCAUUCAACAUUACACACACAUCUAAGAGCUGAACCAGGCCCUGGGGAGUGUUCUUUAUUGAAACGCUAAAGGCCUUGAGAAGAUUAUUUUGUGGACCAGGACAGGUGCAUCAAACGCCGAACAGAAUAAUAAUCGUCCUCCAGCAGGGUUGUGUCUAUAAAACAGCAGUGCCGCGUCGCAUCGCCAUUCUGCUCACCGUUGUCGCUGUAGCUGUUUAAAAAAGGACAAGUAACGCUCACGAUCAACGAGCGGAUAGAUUUUCUUUGACGUGACUCACAUGGAGCUUAAUUUGCAUUUAAACGUGUGUCGCGUGCCCUCGCUCGUCCCCUCGCGGAUGAACUAUUGAGCGUAAGGUACCGCGAGUUUAUAAUAGUGGCGAUAAGUACACAUAUCGUCGAGUUCACACUUUGUCAGACGAAGUUAAAAUACAACACGGAUUGGUUGAGCGGUUUCGGAAAAAAAAACAACAUAAAGAAACCUUCGAAGAAGCUGCGUUUAACGUAGAUCGCAGCGGAGUUACGAAAUGCAAGUUUACGCUAACUAUCGGCGACAAGACUGACCAUCACUGUGGGUAAAUAAAUCAAAACAAAUCUGCAGCAGUAAAACAUGAUUAGUCGUGUAGUCAAAUUGUGACGUCGCCGCGUACAUGGUCCGAAAAAGAGCGCAGAAAAGAAAAGAAAAGAGGGGAAAAGCCUGACCUACAGUUACCACACUCCCGAAGAUCGCUGUCUGGAAGAAAAGCCAUUCUAGCCAGAGCUGUUAUGAGAACUCUUCCGUAACAUGACCAAUCAAACGGGCUGCACUAUUUCUAGCUCCGCCCCCCACGUCCCUGUUCGGCUUUUCAGCACUUGAUUACAGUAGAUCUCACUAAACGAUGCAAAUAACAGUGAAGAGAGUUUUACCUUGUCAUGUCAUAGUAAUAUUUGUGAUACUUUUUAGUCUUUCUCAUCGGUGCGUAAAAUCUCCCUCGGGUAUAUUGUAUUUAACCAUAGUCUAAGGUACAUGGUGAAUUAUUUAAUGUUUCAUCUGAGCUUUUUUAGUAGCGACGUAACGAGUAUGAAUACACCGUUGGAGAAUGAGCAGGUAAUCGUGUUCUAAACUGAUACAAACACUCAGUACGUUUACAUGGACCACGAUAAUCCGAUAUUAAUCCGAUUGAGACGAUAUUCUGAUUGAGAAACUAGCAUGUGAACAGAGAUUACUGACGACCUUAAUCUGAUUAAAGUCACACUCGGAGUAAACACAGAUGGAAUUACGUCAUGUGGCGUAUUCCUGUUUUAUUCACGUUAUCGACGUGCGUUACAGACGCGUACACGCCUUAAUCACACUAUUAACGUCGUGCGAGAGUUUUCACCGUAUUGUGCGACAGGACACGUACACACACGGCAGCGCUCGAGCGUUUUACGGCGAACAAGAGAACGCGUCCCAAACCGCGUACUUACGCGCGGUGUAGUAGGCGAGAUGCAUGUAUUUAUGUAAGUACGCGGUUCGGGACGCAGCCCACGGCUUCAAUCGGUCGUCUGUUUGCACGUACAGCGCGACUAAUAAUCAACCGCACUUGAAGCUUUCAUAAAAAAAUUAUAAAUGAAACACCCGAAACUGUAUAUGGUACCAUAACGAAGAUGAACUGUAUGUCGAUAGGUGAAAUUCUGGAGGGAUGACGGACAUAUAUGUAUAUUUAAUAAUAAUAAUAAUAAUAAUAAUAAUAA
ensembl:lncRNA